GGGCUGUUAGCUCAGUUGGUAGAGCAGUUGACUCUAAAUCAAUAGGUCCAAGGUUCGAAUCCUUGACAGCCCACCA
rnacentral:tRNA from 1 species